CUAUCAAUAUAAACUGCACCGAAGGCAAGGAGCAGAACAGAGACAUGUGCAGCCAUGGAGACGGACAGCUCCUACCACAAAUGGGACAGCUCAGAGCAGGUGGAACUGACAAUGCAGGGAGCGAGCAGCGCACCUGGGAGAGGCGGUAAAGCUCUUUGCCUCUCCAACUCCACCCAAGGGAAGGCCAUUGCGAUCCUGUAUCUCCUGCUGGCGAUUUGCAUUGCAGUGGUCACAGCUCUCAUCGUGGUGAAACUUGGGAAAUUGUCCCAGGGUCUUGCCGAAGCCCAGGUGGAUCGAGAUAUGAUUAGAAGAGAUUCCAAGAGAAAUCUAUCAGAUCACCAGGAUUAUCUAGGUGAGAGGAUAAAGCAAAUGUUUCUAUUCCUCGUCGAACUUGGCAAAUCUUUUUUUCUC
rnacentral:lncRNA from 1 species